UUUUCAAGUAUUCUUUAGUUUAAAAAUGAUUUUAAAGUGUGCUCUUUAGUUUAAAAAAAUUGUUGACAUUCUUCUCAAUUCCUUGGAGCAGGUAAUUUUCUUUUUCAUAACCUAUGAAUUAUUGCUAGCCUAAAGUUGUUGACAUUGUUGCUCAAUUCCUUAGAAUGAUGAACUCUCCUGAUGACUUUGUUAAGGCAGGAUGUGAAGAGCAAAAUGGUUCUUCUGGAUAAGCUUCUUCCAAAACUAAAGGAGCGUGGUUCAAGGGUGUUAAUAAUUUCACAGAUGACCAGACAUUUAGACAUUCUUGAAGAUUACUUAAUGUACCGUGGUCAUCAAUAUUGCCGGAUUGGCGGAAAUACUGGUGGGGAGGAAUGUGAUGCCUUCCAUUGAAGCCUUUAUCAAGUCAGGAAGUGAGAAAUUUGCUUUCUUGUUAUCAACUAGGGCUCUGGGGUCUUUUCUAGUGAACCUUUCUUGUGUGUUUUUCUUUCUUGUAUUUAUUUUUUGGUGGCAUUUUUAAUUACGCGCAUACUUAUAUUCUCAAUAAGCCUAUGGUUCCUUGAACAUAUCCUUUAUGCAAAAAAGAGGAUCUAGUAUUUGUUGAAA